AAACGUGGCGCCUUUAUCUAAACGAAAAAGAAAUAUUUUAAUACACAAUAAUCCCUAUAUGAAGUGGAAAUUAUUUUUGGAGAAGUUUCGUAGAUAUGGAUUUUAUUAAGUAAGGUAAUAAAAGGCUUACGAAAAUGACGACAAAUUAUCGAUCUCCUAUAUCAGCAGAAGAAAGACUGGUAGUAACGUUAAGGUACCAAAAAGUAACAAAGAAUGGAAAGCUAUCGAAAGUGAUUUCAACCAUAGAUGGAAUUUUCCAGGAUGUUAUGGUGCCAUUGAUGGAAAACAUACUUAUUCGAGCUCCUGAGAAUUGUGGCAGUAACUUUUUCAACUAUAAGGGACAAAACAGUAUUAUUUUGAUGGCAAUUGUAGACGGAAAUUACAAUUUUAUAUACAUUGAUGUUGGCUACAAUGGAAGAGCCUCAGAUGGAGGAGUUUUUGCGCAGUGUUCUAUUUUUGCUGCUUUAGAAAACAAUAUAUUACCGGAUGGUGGAUUUCUUGUUGGAGACGACGCUUUUCCGUUAAAGCAUUAUUUACUUAAACCAUAUUCAAAGAAUGCACUUACUGUUGAUGAAAAAAUCUUCAAUUAUAGAUUGUCUCGUGCAAGAAGAAUUGUGGAAAUUGGUUUUGGUAUUUUAGUGUCGAGAUUUCGAGUUUUUGAGAAACCCAUAGCUUGUGGACUAUCAUCAGUAGAUAAAAUAGUCAGAACAUGUUGUGUCCUACAUAACUGGCUUAGAUGCACUACUGUAAAUGAAUAUUUUCCAAAGGGAUCCGUUGACGAAGAAGAUAUCGAUCAAGGUAGAAUUAUUCUUGGAAGUUGGAGGUCAGAAGUAGCUGGUUUGCCAUCAGUUUCACGUAUAGGAAGUAAUCAUUCUUCACAAUUUGCAAGAAAUUUAAGGGAUAAAUAUAAACACUAUUUUAUGACUACAGGGGCCGUUUCAUGGCAGGAACGAAUGAUUUUUUAAUUUCUUUUUAAUAUAUUUUGUAUUCAAUUACUAAUAUAGGUACAUAUAAUAAAAAAUA